AAGGAGGAGGAGUGGAGCUGCAGGGAGGAGGCUCGACAGGAUCGCCUCCAGCCUGGGGCAGCUGGGUUGGCGAGGCGGGGGCUGGUUGCUGCCCUGGCGGGCGAGGUGAUAAACCAUGUUGUAGAAUGCCAUUAUCCCCACCUCCAGCUGGGGGCGCCUGGGCGUAUCUGAAAACCUUGGGGGAAGUGUUCACGUUUUUGGCGCUUAAGAAAAGGAAGAAGCGGCAGCUAGCUGCAGAGGCUGUUCCAGGCCUUCCAGCGACAUCGCAGAACCUGCACCGAGUGCCACUUGGACCGCAGUCUGGACCUGAAGCCUUGGGCCGGGGCACCCGUAGGAGCUCAGCCCUCACCGCUCCCGCCCUCUUUGGAUUCUCUUCUCCCCGAGCUUGGCCAGAGUUCAGGUCUCCUGGUUUCUGGUCUGCCCGGUAAGAGUGCAGGAGUGCAGAGGUGAGGAGGGGGAGUUAGGAGUCUUGUUCCGGUUCUCAGCAUAGUGAGAAGUCUGAAAAGAGGUGAUGAUCCGGUUGUGCUUGAAGGGGAGAGGCCAAAGCCCAGGACAUUCUGCCUUUUUAGGGGAUUUACCUUUCAAGCCCUAUUUGGUCUCCACUAGCCUUUGCUUCUGAGGAUGAAGGAGUUGAGCCUCUGUUACAUGGAUGUCUACAGAGAUCAUACCCCUUGCCCUGAACGACCGAGAGACUGAUAGCUCUAGGGCCAGCACCUGAGAAGCCUGUAGCCUGCCUGCCAGUGGACUCCUGUAUCCGGAGUAGACAGCCCUCCUGACCCCCCUGCUGGCUGCCUGCCUCUAGUGUCUUUGAUUCCUGCAGCUGGCCAGGCCUUCCUUGCAAAUGACGCUGAGAUUCAGCAGUUUGUGCACAGAUCAGAUUGGCUGCUUGAGUCUUUGGCAUCCUGAGCCAUCUCCCUUGGGCCUUCAGAAGGGCUAUGUCAUCCUCGGUGGGCAUGGCCUGGAUCCUGUGACCUCUCCAUGGGUGUCCAGUCUCACCCUGCCUUCAAUCACUCGCUCAGCCUUUCCGGCUUUUUGGGGACAAGCCCCGAUCCACCAGACACGUCUAUUACCUGUGUGUUUCUUUUAGCAGUGUUCAAAGAAAGAGAUCUAUUUCCAUUUUUUCUCCCAUAACUUGACCUCUAACUCAUUCAUCAUAAUAUAAGCUUGACGGGUAGACAUGCCCGUAAAUGUGUGUCCAAAUGCUUACUGUGGGAAAGAGGUCUGCCUCCUGCUAAGCUGAUUUCCUGGUGAGCUCUGGGAAAUUCUUCCUGACUAAUGGGUUGUUUCAGCAUUGCAGUCUUGCUCUUUCUGUGGAUCCAGAUUCGGAAAAGAUUGUGCCUUUUGGUGAAACUCCUGAAUCUACAGGAGAUAAUCGAAAAGGCUGAAGGUCUGUGCAGAUGGCUGGUGCUGCUGCUCAAGCAGAAAGAGAAACUUCUUUGUGGCUUGUGUCUGCUCCCAACACAGGAGAGACUUGGGGUGUCCAGUCAGCUGUGGUGCUCCUACUUUGGAUUCUCAUUGAAGCUGAGGCUUCCUCUUUAAGGACACACCUGCCAGGCCAGCAUGCUCAUGGUCCUUGUCCUCCUGGCACAUUCUUUGGUACAGAGGUUAAGAUCCUGAUGAUGUGAGAGUGUGCCUCCUAGAGUUGGUCCUGUUGACACAUGGCCCCUGAGUGCCACGGAGGUUUGGAGAUCUCUUUUGUAUGCAGGGCCUGGAUGAGCUGGUGCAUUGCCACCCUUGAUGCCUGACUUGGGCAGCCCACAGAGGGAUCCCAGGGACCAUAAGAUGUGUAUGGUAGAGGAAGAACUGGUACAACUGACCCUUUGCUGGUGAAUGGAUUGAAGGCAGGAAGAAGAUAGGUUCUUCUUGGAUAGAUGUACAGGUGGCCUUGCUGCAGCUGAACAGUCAGGUGAAGCCUCUCACUUAGGCCUAGUGCUGGAGAAUUUACAGGCCCACUUCUGCUCUAGCCUGCACGACUGAUCCUUUGAUCUGACACCAGAUCUGAAUUCUGGACUCUGGAAUGCCUGUCUGUUUUACCAGUUUCUCUUUGGUGGUGAUGCUAGGAAAGCAAUUUUUCUCAAAGGCUUGGAUGUGGACACUAGUCUGGUAUCUAAUAAUUGCUGCCCACUUUUUCCUGACUUCUUGGGAGAGGCAUUCAUGAGUCCAAAGCUGAGGUCAAAAUCACUUCUGUCUUAUCUGACAUUAUCUCUCAAAGCAAAUCUGGAUUCUAGCCUCCAGAAUGCCCAUUUCUUGGGCCAGUUUUUCACUGGUAAAUCUGCAAGGGUACAGGUUCCAUUUAAACCAUGCUGGUUGGGUAUCCUUUUGACUUGGCAUAAAAUACUUCUCCUUCAUUAUGAUUCACUUGGGUGAAAGCCAACAGAAAGUCUGGAAAGAUCCACUGUGAAAAGAUUUCAUCUGGACUCCACAGACACCGCUGGCCAGCUCUCACUUGCACAGGAUUUCCGCACACCGAGCCAGCCCCAGCCCUUGCUUCAAUAUUUUCCCACUCCAGCUCAUUAAACAUUUUAGUUUUUUGUUAUAUAUUUAAGACACUGAAGAAAGCAUAGGAAACCAGCAAAAAUUGAAUUUUGCUGGAAUUUAAGUUUGAGAGCAGCCCGCAAGAGGAACACAUUGGGUGGGUAGACAUGUUGUGCUUUUUAAUUUUUUUCCUGUAAGAUAGUCAACAAUAAUUAAUUUGAACAAGAAAAAAAUGGUUGUCAUACAUAUAUAAAAGUAAAGUCUAGAAAAAUAAAAAGUUUUUGUUUUGACCUAAUUCAGAUUAUAUAAAAAUAGAAAUCACAGUAUUUGUUUUUACAUAUUUUGAAAAUUAAAUAACCUUGAAAUGAUAAAGUGCAGAAAAUAAUGUGAAUAAUAAUGUUGAGUUUUCUAGUCCCUCUUCUGAUCCUUCAUCCUGGUAGCUUAUAUCCUGUUUUGCUGCAUAAUAAAUAAUUUUAUUCUCACCUUUGGGAAAUACCAAA
ensembl:lncRNA novel transcript